UACGGGGGGGAGCAAGCGUUGUUCGGAUUUACUGGGCGUAAAGGGCGCGUAGGCGGCCACCGCAAGUCGGUUGUGAAAUCUCGGAGCUUAACUCCGAAACUGCAUUCGAUACUGCCGUGCUUGAGGACUGGAGAGGAGACUGGAAUUUACGGUGUAGCGGUGAAAUGCGUAGAUAUCGUAAGGAAGACCAGUGGCGAAGGCGGGUCUCUGGACAGUUCCUGACGCUGAGGCACGAAGGCCAGGGGGAGCAAACGGG
rnacentral:rRNA from 1 species